UACAGAGGGUGCGAGCGUUAAUCGGAAUUACUGGGCGUAAAGGGUGCGUAGGCGGUGAUAUAAGUUAGGUGUGAAAUUCCUGGGCUUAACCUGGGGAUUGCGCUUAAUACUGUGUGACUAGAGUACUGUAGAGGAAGGUGGAAUUUCCGGUGUAGUGGUGAAAUACGUAGAUAUCGGAAGGAACAUCAGUGGCGAAGGCGACUUUCUGGACAGAUACUGACACUGAGGCACGAAAGCAUGGGGAGCAAACAGG
rnacentral:rRNA from 1 species